UAAUAAUAUCCUCAUGUAUUUCAAAUCAUAAUUUACGUUGCAUCUUUGUACCACAGUGCCCCUGUGAAAGUCAGAGAAAUAUGGAAACUGGUUCCCAUCUUCUACCUUGGUCUGGAAUGGAACCCAUGUCGUCAGGCUUGGCAGCAAGAAUUAUAUGCAUCUGUGUUGUCUCCCCAGAGGCAAAGAAACUGAGAUUGACUGAACCACUAUUCAGAUGAUGCUAUUAAAUUCCAUUCCAGAAGGGUACUUCUGAUGAUGAGCUCUCCAUCCCGGUUCAGCAUUCCUAGCUGUCAAUCACUGUAGAAUGAGGAGAGGGUGGGGAGGGGGAAGCUGACAUAUUGAUCAUGGUCCACAAUGCUACCUCAUUCUGUUCAGCCCAUGAUUUAGAGCUGAACAGUGUGUGCUGGUAUAGGGGCAGAUGAUCUGAUUCUGGCACUGGGAAUCUGUGUUUUAGGUGUCACUUUUACAAUUUAAGUAAAACUGAGAGGAUUCAGAAGCCACUCUUGUAGAUUAUUUUUAUUCUCGGUGAUUCAGUUUUAUCUAUUCUGUCAAAUAUGGCAAAGGGAAGCUGAUUGGAUAAAUGAUGAUUAUUUACCUAAUAAAAAUACUAAGC